rnacentral:rRNA from 1 species
CCUACGGGAGGCAGCAGUGAGGAAUAUUGGUCAAUGGACGCAAGUCUGAACCAGCCAUGCCGCGUGCAGGAAGAAGGUGCUAAGCAUUGUAAACUGCUUUUGUCAGGGGGUAAAUCCAGAUACGUGUAUCUGGCUGAAAGUACCGUAAGAAUAAGGAUCGGCUAACUCCGUGCCAGCAGCCGCGGUAAUACGGAGGAUUCGAGCGUUAUCCGGAUUUAUUGGGUUUAAGGGGUGCGUAGGCGGACUGUUAAGUCAGCGGUAAAAUCCCGGGGCUCAACCCCGGCCCGCCGUUGAAACUGGCUGGCUUGAGUUGUGGAGCGGUAGGCGGAAUGCGUGGUGUAGCGGUGAAAUGCAUAGAGAUCACGCAGAACACCGAUUGCGAAGGCAGCUUACC